rnacentral:rRNA from 1 species
GCGAACGCUGGCGGCAGGCCUAACACAUGCAAGUCGAACGAACCUUUCGGGGUUAGUGGCGGACGGGUGAGUAACACGUGGGAACGUGCCUUUAGGUUCGGAAUAACUCAGGGAAACUUGUGCUAAUACCGAAUGUGCCCUUCGGGGGAAAGAUUUAUCGCCUUUAGAGCGGCCCGCGUCUGAUUAGCUAGUUGGUUAAGGUAAUGGCUCACCAAGGCGACGAUCAGUAGCUGGUCUGAGAGGAUGAUCAGCCACAUUGGGACUGAGACACGGCCCAAACUCCUACGGGAGGCAGCAGUGGGGAAUCUUGCGCAAUGGGCGAAAGCCUGACGCAGCCAUGCCGCGUGAAUGAUGAAGGUCUUAGGAUUGUAAAAUUCUUUCACCGGGGACGAUAAUGACGGUACCCGGAGAAGAAGCCCCGGCUAACUUCGUG